rnacentral:rRNA from 1 species
GAGUUUGAUCCUGGCUCAGAACGUACGCUGGCGGCACGCCUAACACAUGCAAGUCGAACGAAGUAGCAAUACUUAGUGGCAGACGGGUGAGUAACAUGUAGGUAUCUGCCCUUUGGCCUGGAAUAACACGAGGAAACUUGUGCUAAUACUGGAUAAGUCUUAACGGAGAAAGCUUUAUGCACCAUUGGAUGAGCCUGCACUUGAUUAGUUUGUUGGUGGGGUAAUGGCCUACCAAGACUGUGAUCAAUAGCUGAUUUGAGAGGAUGAUCAGCCACAUUGGGACUGAGACACGGCCCAAACUCCUACGGGAGGCAGCAGUGGGGAAUCUUGCACAAUGGAGGAAACUCUGAUGCAGCGAUGCCGCGUGAGUGAAGAAGGCCUUUGGGUUGUAAAGCUCUCUCGUCGGGGAAGAAAAUGACUGUACCCGAAUAAGAAGGUCCGGCUAACUUCGUGCCAGCAGCCGCGGUAAUACGAAGGGACCUAGCGUAGUUCGGAAUUACUGGGCUUAAAGAGUUCGUAGGUGGUUGAAAAAGUUAGUGGUGAAAUCCCAGAGCUUAACUCUGGAACUGCCAUUAAAACUUUUCAGCUAGAGUAUGAUAGAGGAAAGCAGAAUUUCUAGUGUAGAGGUGAAAUUCGUAGAUAU